CCAAGGAUGCUACCAAAAUGGCUGUUUUCUCCGCUGAAAAGCUUUCCCUCUAUGACAUCAAUGCAUGCAUGUGUUUUAAUCAUGUAGCCAGAUGUACUAAGAAUUGUACUUUCAAUGCAAACACCUGCAGUAGGUCUCUGUUUGGUUUGUGUCUGCGAGAGGUGGGAUUUGUGCUGGAGAGGUGCUCUUGAGUACAAAGGACGGAGUAAAUCGGCUCCCUGGUUGUGCAGUGAAGGACUGACUUGCAGGGAAGGGGAGCAUUUAUAAACUGCAUCAAUAUUGCCCUGAAAUUCUGGGUAGUUGGAGUUGGCUUGGGCCUGUCAGGGUGAGCCAUAAGCAACCCGAGCAAGCCCCUGAAGCCUCAAUGGAUGUUGGAAACACUUCCACAGAAAGCCAAAGCAGUAACGAUUCCAGAGGAGAAGUUAUAGGUGAUUGCUUAUGAUCGGUGGGGAAUUUCCUUGGCAAUUAUUAACCUUGGACAUAGGGCAUUUUGGAGGUGGAAUUCCAGUUUCAGCCACAGGCACCUGGAUGAGAAGGAGAGCUCUUUGCCAGAGGAAGGGAAGUAUUCUUUUGCCAGUUAGUGCUGUUAGUGAAGUGAUCAGAACAAAAGAGUGACUUCUUUUGGGAUAGGCUUAUUUAUUAUAUGGAUGAUAAGCAAGUAAGAGGAAUGAACUACAUGGAUAAGAAGCAGUAACAGCAAUCAAGGUCGAAAGGCAAUGCAUCAAAUCAUUAUUAUGUAUUCUAGUAGGGAUUAGGAAGGGAUACAACAGCAGUUACCCUAAAACGUUACUGUCAUCCUGCUCUGUACUUGAGCUGGGGAGUCCCAUUGCAGAGAAAGACCAGAGAAACCCUCCUGGUAACCCUUAGGGAAUGAUCCAGACUUGCUCCAAGUUGGUCUCACUUGGAUAUUGUUUCUUGUACAAGGGUAUGUGAUCACGUGUUUUGCUUUUCUUUUUUGUGACCUGGGGCUCUGUCACACCCGUCCACUGGCCAGGAGUCCAGGUCCCCGAGGCGGCUUCGGAUCUCCGCGGUCACCGACGCUGCCGAUUUUCCCGGCGCGCGCCGUUCGACGUCGAGGAGCGGCAUCCAGAGGCUGUGUCGGAGCAUCUUCCUGGCUGGAAUGUUUUGAGUAAGGGCUGCAGUCAGGGUGUAAGCUGAAGGGUGUGUGACUGUGUGUGUGUGUGACUGUGUCUGUCUGCCUGCGAGAAGAGUGCGGGUGUGGAAUGGUUCUGACCUUGUGUGUGGGAGUUUUGCCUUUCAGCUACUUUUUAAACUUAGAGUAAAAACAACCCAGCUGCGCUGGCUGGGGAUUUUUUCCCUCCCGGCUGGGUUUUUUUAUCUGGGACCCGGCCGGUCUGUGAGGUGCCGUUCAUCGCCAGGGUUUGGGUGCCGACCGUGCCGGGGAUUUGUCAGGCGGGAUGAUUUUGGGGCUCCCGGGAACCGCGUUCCCAUGGGGUGCUCUCGAGACGAGAGCGAGGGUGGGUUUGUGUGUCAGCUGAAGGAGGUGUGUGGUGGAUGAGUGUUUUCUUCUCCGUGUGCUGCUGUUGUUUUGGGUUUCCUGGAACAAUAAAAUGUCCUAAAUUUUCCAGAAAUAGAACAAUUGUUACAUUGUACUGAUAGGGGGUUGGCUUGUGUUGCUCUGUGUUCGUGUUUGCUGCUGCACUUGCACAUAUUGCUCUGUAUGUCAGUUGGACUUUGACCAGGGUGCAUAUGGAUUGUACUUGUGCUUGUGUACAUUGUUGUUUCCACUUGCUUUGCUGAAGUGUAAAUAAAAAACCCUCGUUCAAUCAAGCUGAAUAAACCCUAAUAAAGAUACCCCCCCUC